CCUACGGGUGGCAGCAGUGAGGAAUAUUGGUCAAUGGCCGUAAGCCUGAACCAGCCAAGUCGCGUGAGGGAAGACGGUCCUAUGGUUUGUAAACUUCUUUUGUAGGGGAGUAAAGGUAUCCACGUGUGGAGAUCUGAGUGUACCCAAUGAAUAAGCAUCGGCUAACUCCGUGCCAGCAGCCGCGGUAAUACGGAGGAUGCGAGCGUUAUCCGGAUUUAUUGGGUUUAAAGGGUGCGUAGGUUGGAGGUUAAGUCAGCGGUGAAAGUUAGUGGCUCAACCAUAUACUUGCCGUUGAAACUGGUAGACUUGAGUGUGCGUGAGGUAUGCGGAAUGCGUGGUGUAGCGGUGAAAUGCAUAGAUAUCACGCAGAACUCCGAUUGCGAAGGCAGCAUAC
rnacentral:rRNA from 1 species